rnacentral:rRNA from 2 species
AGAGGAGUAGUUCGUCUGGACUGCAUGGCAUCCAAGUACAAUAGGCCGUCAGUGGGACAUCAUAGAGGGUGACAAUCCCGUCCUUGAUGCCAAUGUACAAGUCCGUUACGAUGACUAUCUCAGAGAGUCGAGCAGUUUGGGAUUUGCUGCUUAAACAUGGGAGGUAGAUUCCUUCUAAAGCUAAAUACAGGCGAGAGACCGAUAGAGAACAAGUACCGCAAGGGAAAGAUGAAAUAGAACUCUGUGAAGGGAGUCAAAAGGCGUGAAAUUGUUGCGAGAGAAGCGAUUCAAGUCAGCGUAGCUAGGCCCAUCAAGCUUUAUCGCUUUGGACUAGCUUUGCCAGCGGUCUUGUCCCUAGAGACUUGACUUUUGUGAUGCCCAGCCUGGUCUAUACAGGUAGCCCCUCUGGGGGCCAGUGGCAUGGCUGGUGGAAUGGCUUGCAAUCGACCCGUCUUGAAACACGGACCAAGGAGUCUAACAUGUAUGCGAGUAUAAGGGUGGCAAACCCGUAUGCGCAAUGAAAGUGACUUUCGUUGAUUGAGAAUGGCCUGACGACCAGACAAGCAAUACAUGUCCCUCGAACGGCCAUUGCCCAAGUUCCGUGGUAGAACCCACGAACAUGGAGUUGGAGCAUACAUGCUAGGACCCGAAAGAUGGUGAACUAUGCCUGGACAAAGCGAAGCCAAAGGAAACUCUGGUGGAGGCUUGUAGCGAUUCUGACGUGCAAAUCGAUCGUCUGAUCUGGGUAUAGGGGCGAAAGACUAAUCGAACCAUCUCAUAGCUGGGUUCCUGCCGAU